rnacentral:rRNA from 1 species
AUUGAACGCUGGCGGCAGGCCUAACACAUGCAAGUCGAGCGGAUGACGGGAGCUUGCUCCUUGAUUCAGCGGCGGACGGGUGAGUAAUGCCUAGGAAUCUGCCUGGUAGUGGGGGACAACGUUUCGAAAGGAACGCUAAUACCGCAUACGUCCUACGGGAGAAAGCAGGGGACCUUCGGGCCUUGCGCUAUCAGAUGAGCCUAGGUCGGAUUAGCUAGUUGGUGGGGUAAUGGCUCACCAAGGCGACGAUCCGUAACUGGUCUGAGAGGAUGAUCAGUCACAAUGGAACUGAGACACGGUCCAGACUCCUACGGGAGGCAGCAGUGGGGAAUAUUGGACAAUGGGCGAAAGCCUGAUCCAGCCAUGCCGCGUGUGUGAAGAAGGUCUUCGGAUUGUAAAGCACUUUAAGUUGGGAGGAAGGGCAGUAAGUUAAUACCUUGCAGCCUUGACGUUACCGACAGAAUAAGCACCGGCUAACUUCGUGCCAGCCGCCGCGGUAACAC